rnacentral:lncRNA from 1 species
AGUCUUCUCCUCUCCUCCCCAUGACCCACAGGGUCUGUGUGAAGAGAGGCCGGGCUCUGGGACGUUCAGAGAGGAGGAUUCAGCGUUUUGUUGCUCUGGGACACAGCUUGGUCACUCCGGGAAACGAACACAACCUAGAGGCUGUCAUUUGUAGAAACAGCGAAUGGCCAAGGAAUGGCGGGAGGAGGGAAAAGGAAGACUUUUAAAGAAAAAAAAAAAAAGCCCUGAAAGACUGGACUAGAAAUCCUCAGGGAGGCUGGGCCUGCAAGGAGCCUUCCCGCGCCUCAGCCCACUUUCCUUCCCUCUCGACCUGACGGACUUAAGGCGUGCAGAGUCUCUUCGGACAAAAUGAAGCCAAGAGAGCCCUAAGCUUCUCCCCCAGCAACCGCUGCAGAGGCGGGAAAACUUGAAUUUUGCAACCAAGAGUUGCAGCGGGACGCCUAAGCAACGAUAAGGGGCGGUGGAGGGGCGUCGUUGGGGGCUGCAGCAUCCCAAAGUGGAAGCGGGAAGGGGGCCCGG